UGGAGGGAUUUGGACACCGGGUAGACAGGAGGGAUGAGCUCAGCCGGCCUCUUGAUGACGAAUUUAAUCUGUCGCGCACAACACUGUGGACCAAAGGGACUGUGCCGGGGCCGAACGGGCCUGUGUCUGACGAGGAGGUGCUGAGCGAGCCGGCUGUGUUCUGCGCAAACCUUCGCCGCCGACCUGGGUACCGUCUGCCAUCGGGCCAGCCCGCCCGCCCGGGUCACCUCAACACGCCGCGGGUAGCAGAGGUCCCGCCGGAACUCCGCCGGUCACAGGCCGCGUGGCGCUGGGGCAGGGUGAGGCCGUUCAGCCCAUCGAGUCUGCUCCGCCAUUCCGACGCAGCCAAUCCCAGAUCCAGCUCACCUGCCUUCCCGCCUUGACCAAUCAGUAAACAUACCGAUUUUUGCUUUUAGUAUACCCACGGACCCGCAGUCCGUGGCCGAGCGUUCCACAGAUUCACCGCUCUCUGGCGCAAAAAGUUCCUCCUUCACCUCUGUCCUAAAGGGGAGCCCCUCAAUUUUGAGGCUGUGACCUCUAGUUCUGGAUACCCCCCCCCCCCCCACCAUAGGGAACAUCCUCUCCAAUGCCCACCUGAAACCAGUCCUUUCAACGUUCGGUAGUUUCCCCCCCCCCCCGUCGCCACCCCGCAUUCGUCUAAAUUCCAGUGAGUCCAGGCCCAAAGCUGCCAAACGCUGCUCGUAUAUUAACCCCUUCGUUCCCGGAAUCAUCCUCGCACACCUCCUCUGGACUCUGUCCAACGACAACACACCCUUUCUGAGACGCAGGGCCCAGAACUGUUGACAAUACUGCAAGUGUGGCUGACUAGUGUCUUAUAAAGGCUCAGUAUUAUCUGUCCGCUUUUAUAUUCUAUUCCCUUUGAAAUGACCAGUGGGGUACCGCAAGGCUCGGUGCUGGUGCCGCAGCUAUUUACGAUAUACAUUAAUGAUUUAGAUGAAGGGGUUAAAAGUAACAUUAGCAAAUUUGCCGAUGACACAAAGCUGUGUGGCAGUGUGAAAUGUCAGGAGGAUGUUAGGAGAAUGCAGGGUGACUUGGACAGGUUGGGUGGGUGGGCAGAUGCAGUUUAGUGUGGAUAAAUGUGAGGUUAUCCACUUUGGUGACAAGAACAGGAAGGCAGAUUACUAUCUAAAUGGUGUCAGGUUAGGAAAAGGGGAAGUACAACGAGAUCUCGGUGUCCUUGUUUAUCAGUCACGGACAGUUAGCAUGCAGGUACAGCAGGCAGUGAAGAAAGCUAAUGGCAUGUUGGCCUUCAUAACAAGACGGGUUGGGUAUAGAGGCAAAGAGGUCCUUCCGCAGUUAUACAGGGCCCUGGUGAGACCCCACCUGGAGUAUUGUGUGAAGUUUUGGUCUCCAACUUUGAGGAAGGACAUUCUUGCUAUUGAGGGAGUGGAGCGUAGGUUCACGGGACUGUCAUAUGUUGAAAGAUUGGAGAGACUGGGCUUGUAUACACUGGAAUUUAGAAGGAUAAGAGGAGAUCCAAUUGAGCAUAUAAGAUUAUUAACUGAUUGGACAUGCUAGAGGCAGGAAAAAUGUUCCGGAUGUUGGGGGAGUCUAGAACCAGAGGCCACAGUUUAAGAAUAAGGGGUAGGCCAUUUAGAACGGAGUUGAGGAAAAACUUUUUCACCCAGAGAGUGGUGGACAUGUGGAAUGCUCUGCCCCAGAAGGCAGUGGAGGCCAAUUCUCUGGAUGCUUUCAAGAAAGAUAGAGCUCUUAAAGAUAGCAGAGCCCAGGGACAUGGGGAGAGGGCAGGAAAGGGGUAUUGAUUGUGGAUGAUCAGCCAUGAUUACAUUGAAUGGCGGUGCUGGUUCAAAGGGCUGAAUGGCCGACUCCUGCACCUAUAGUCUAUUGUUUAAAUAAGCGCCAGCAUUGCAUUUGUCUUCUUUACCACAGACUCGGCCUCAGAAUUAACCUUCCAGGAGUCCUGCACGAGGUCUCCCAAGUCGCUCUGCACCUCUUAAUAUUCGAACCUUCUCCCCGGUGAGAGAAUAGUCCGCACUCUUGUUCCUUUUUACCAAAAUACUGUAUUCCAUCUGCCAUUUUUUUGCCCAGUCUUCCAAUUUCUCGAAGUCCUUCUGCAAUCGCGUUGCUUCCUCGGCACUACCUAUCUCUCCGCCCCCCUUCGUAUCAUCCGCAAACUUUGCCACAAAGCCGUCAAUUCCAGACCUCCACCUUGAAUAAGUCCCUUCCACCACGACCCUCCGUCUCCCGCGGGCAAGCCGGUCCUGAAUCCAAACAGGCAACUGUCCGUCGAUCCCUCGCACCGCAGGCGUCUCGAUGAGGCUCGCGGGAGCACUCCGACAGGCCGCAUCGCUGUCUGGGGUGGAGGGGCUACUGCACUGGGCCGGAGGAGGCUGCAGAGGGUUGUAAAUCUGGUCAGCUCCAUCUUGGGUCCUAGCCUACAAAGUACCCAGGACAUCUUCAGGGAGCGGUGUCUCAGAGAGGCGGCGUCUGUUAUUAAGGAUCCCCAGCACCCAGGGCAUGCCCUUUUCUCACUGUUACCAUCAGGGAGGGGGUACAGGAGCCUGAAGGCACACACUCAGUGAUUCAGGAACAGCUUCCUCCCCUCCGCCAUCCGAUUCCGAAAUGGACACUGAACCCUUGGCCACUACCUCGCUUUUUAAUAAAUAUAUUAUUUCUGCUUUUUGCACGGAUUUGUAAUCUAUCCAAUACACUGUAAUUGAUUUAAGAACAUAACAUAAGAAAUAGGGGCAGGAGUAGGCCAUCCGGCCCAUCGAUCCUGUUCAGUCAUUCAAUGAGAUGAUGGCCGAUCUGUCCGUAAACUCAGCUCCAUCCACCUGCCUUUUCCCCAGAACCCUUAAUUACUUUGCUGUGUAAAAACCUACCUAACUGUUUCUUAAGUAUAUUUAGUGAGGAAGCCUCAGCUGCUUCCCUGGGCAGAGAAUUCCACAGAUUCACCACUCUCUGGGAAAAACAGUUUCUCCCCAUCUCCGUCCUAAAUCUUCUCCCCUGAAUCUUGAGGCAAUGUCCCCUAGUUCGAGUCUCACCCACCAAUGGAAACAACUUUCCUACAUCUAUCUUAUCUGUCCCUUUCAAAAUUUUGUCUGUUUCUAUAAGAUCCCCUCUUAUUCUUCUGAACUCCAGAGAGUACAGUCCCAGGUGACUCAAUUUCUCCUCAUAGGUUAACACCUUCAUCCCUGGAAUCAGCCCGGUGAACCUCCUCUGCACUGCCUCCAAAGCCAGUAUAUCCUUCCUCAAGUACGGAGACCGGAACUGCACACAGUACUCCCGGUGCGGCCUCACCAGUACCCUGUAUAGUUACAGCAUGACCUCCCUGCUCUUGAAUUCGACCCCUCCAGCAACGAAGGCCAGAGUCCUAUUUUCCUUCUUGAUAGCCUGCUGCCCCUGCAAACCGACCUUUUGCGAUUCCUCACAAUCCCGGAAUCAUUUUCCUGACUUGCUCCGCACAGAGCCAAGCUGGCAGUCCACAAUUAGGCCAAGGGUUUCCAAGUGCCCAUAAAUCCUAUUGCUGAGAAUUCUGUCCGGCUGCUGAUGGGGCAGUCGCCAUUCUCUAGUUCCCAGGAUGAUCCCGGUCCCCUUCCUUACCGGCGAAUCAUCCAUCAGUCCUCCGGGACCUCGCCUGCCCGCUCACCUCCGUUCAGGGCCCCAGACAGUCCUUUACAUGUGUCCCCCUGUCCCCCGACACUCCCCACCGUUCACGGUGUGUGUCCCACCCUCGUACGCUGAGGUCCCCCUGUCCCUCGACACUCCCCACCGUUCACGGUGUGUGUCCUACCCUCGUACGCCGAGGUCCCCCAUCCCUCGACACUCCCAACCGUUCACGGUGCGUGUCCUACCCUUGUACGCCGAGAUCCCCCUGUCACUCUACACUCCCCACCGUUCACGGUGCUAGUCCUACCCUCGUACGCCGAGGUCCCCCCUGUCCCUCGACACUCCCCACCGUUCGCGGUGCCUGUCCUACCCUCGUACGCCGAGGUCCCCCGUCCCUCGACACUCCCCACCGUUCACGGUGCGUGUCCUACCCUCGUACGCCGAUGACACCCCGUCCCUCAACACUCCCCACCGUUCACGGUGCUAGUCCUACCCUCGUACGCCGAGGUCCCCCCUGUCCCUCGACACUCCCCACCGUUCGCGGUGCCUGUCCUACCCUCGUACGCCGAGGUCCCCCGUCCCGCGACACUCCCCACCGUUCACGGUGCGUGUCCUACCCUCGUACGCCGAUGACACCCCGUCCCUCAACACUCCCCACCGUUCACGGUGUGUGUCCUACUCUCGUACGCCGAUGUCACCCCGACCCUCGACACUCCCCACCGUUCACGGUGCAUGUCCUACCCUCGUACGCCGAGGUCCCCCCGUCCCUCGACACUCCCCACCGUUCACGGUGUGUGUCCUACCCUCGUACGCCGAUGUCCCCCCGUCCCUCGAAACUCCCCACCGUUCACGGUGUGUGUCCUACCCUCGUACGCCGAUGUCCCCCCGUCCCUCGACACUCCCCACCGUUCACGGUGUGUGUCCUACCCUCGUACGCCGAGGACCCCCGUCCCUCGACACUCCCCACAGUUCACGGUGUGUGUCCUACCCUCGUACGCCGAGGUCCCCCCGUCCCUCGACACUCCCCACCGUUCACUGUGCGUGUCCGACCCUCGUACGCCGAGGUCCCCCCGUCCCUCGACACUCCCCACCGUUCACGGUGCGUGUCCUACCCUUGUACGCCGAGAUCCCCCUGUCCCUCUACACACCCCAUCGUUCACGGUGCAUGUCCUACCCUCGUACGCCGAUGUCCCUCCGUCCCUCGACACUCCCCAGCGUUCACGGUGCGUGUCCUUCCCUCGUACGCCGAGGUCAGCCUGUCCCUCGACACUACCCACCAUUCACGGUGCGUGUCCUACCCUCGUACACCGAAGUCCCCCAGUCCCACGACACUCCCCACUGUUCACGGUGCGUGUCCUACCCUCGUUCGCCGAGGUCCCCCUGUCCCUCGACACACCCCAUCGUUCACGGUGCAUGUCCUACCCUCGUACGCCGAUGUCCCCCUGUCCCUCGACACUCCCCAGCGUUCACGGUGCGUGUCCUACCCUCGUACGCCGAUGUCCCUCCGUCCCUCGACACUCCCCAGCGUUCACGGUGCGUGUCCUACCCUCGUACGCCGAGGUCAGCCUGUCCCUCGACACUACCCACCAUUCACGGUGCGUGUCCUACCCUCGUACACCGAAGUCCCCCAGUCCCACGACACUCCCCACUGUUCACGGUGCGUGUCCUACCCUCGUUCGCCGAGGUCCCCCUGUCCCUCGACACUCCCCCACCGUUCACGGUGCAUGUCCUACCCUCGUACGCCGAGGUCCCCCAUCCCUCGACACUCCCAACCGUUCACGGUGCGUGUCCUACCCUUGUACGCCGAGAUCCCCCUGUCACUCUACACUCCCCACCGUUCACGGUGCUAGUCCUACCCUCGUACGCCGAGGUCCCCCCUGUCCCUCGACACUCCCCACCGUUCGCGGUGCCUGUCCUACCCUCGUACGCCGAGGUCCCCCGUCCCUCGACACUCCCCACCGUUCACGGUGCGUGUCCUACCCUCGUACGCCGAUGACACCCCGUCCCUCAACACUCCCCACCGUUCACGGUGCUAGUCCUACCCUCGUACGCCGAGGUCCCCCCUGUCCCUCGACACUCCCCACCGUUCGCGGUGCCUGUCCUACCCUCGUACGCCGAGGUCCCCCGUCCCUCGACACUCCCCACCGUUCACGGUGCGUGUCCUACCCUCGUACGCCGAUGACACCCCGUCCCUCAACACUCCCCACCGUUCACGGUGUGUGUCCUACUCUCGUACGCCGAUGUCACCCCGACCCUCGACACUCCCCACCGUUCACGGUGCAUGUCCUACCCUCGUACGCCGAGGUCCCCCCGUCCCUCGACACUCCCCACCGUUCACGGUGUGUGUCCUACCCUCGUACGCCGAUGUCCCCCCGUCCCUCGAAACUCCCCACCGUUCACGGUGUGUGUCCUACCCUCGUACGCCGAUGUCCCCCCGUCCCUCGACACUCCCCACCGUUCACGGUGUGUGUCCUACCCUCGUACGCCGAGGACCCCCGUCCCUCGACACUCCCCACAGUUCACGGUGUGUGUCCUACCCUCGUACGCCGAGGUCCCCCCGUCCCUCGACACUCCCCACCGUUCACUGUGCGUGUCCGACCCUCGUACGCCGAGGUCCCCCCGUCCCUCGACACUCCCCACCGUUCACGGUGCGUGUCCUACCCUUGUACGCCGAGAUCCCCCUGUCCCUCUACACACCCCAUCGUUCACGGUGCAUGUCCUACCCUCGUACGCCGAUGUCCCUCCGUCCCUCGACACUCCCCAGCGUUCACGGUGCGUGUCCUUCCCUCGUACGCCGAGGUCAGCCUGUCCCUCGACACUACCCACCAUUCACGGUGCGUGUCCUACCCUCGUACACCGAAGUCCCCCAGUCCCACGACACUCCCCACUGUUCACGGUGCGUGUCCUACCCUCGUUCGCCGAGGUCCCCCUGUCCCUCGACACACCCCAUCGUUCACGGUGCAUGUCCUACCCUCGUACGCCGAUGUCCCCCUGUCCCUCGACACUCCCCAGCGUUCACGGUGCGUGUCCUACCCUCGUACGCCGAUGUCCCUCCGUCCCUCGACACUCCCCAGCGUUCACGGUGCGUGUCCUACCCUCGUACGCCGAGGUCAGCCUGUCCCUCGACACUACCCACCAUUCACGGUGCGUGUCCUACCCUCGUACACCGAAGUCCCCCAGUCCCACGACACUCCCCACUGUUCACGGUGCGUGUCCUACCCUCGUUCGCCGAGGUCCCCCUGUCCCUCGACACUCCCCCACCGUUCACGGUGCAUGUCCUACCCUCGUACGCCGAGGUCAGCCUGUCCCUCGACACUACCCACCAUUCACGGUGCAGGUCCCACCCUCGUACACCGAUGUCCCUCCGUCCCUCGACACUCCCCACCGUUCACGGUGUGUGUCCUACCCUCGUACGCCGAUGUCACCCCGUCCCUCGAUACUCCCCAUCGUUCACUGUCUGUGUCCUACCUCGUACACCGAGGUCCCACCGUCCCUCGACACUCCCCACCGUUCACGGUGCGUGUCCUACCUCGUACGCCGAGGUCCCCCUAUCCCUCGGCACCCCCACCGUUCAUGGUGCAUGUCCCACCCUCGUACCCCGAGGUCCCCCCCCUUCACUCGACUCCCCGCACCGGUCACAGUUGUCGGAGGGUGGGAUCUCGCUGACGACGGUGCCCCUCCCUCCUAUCACAAGAGGCUCCUGCCAAGACCAAAUACGGCCCGCUGAAGGAUGAGGACCGUAUCUUCACCAACCUGUAUGGCAGGCACGACUGGAGGCUGAAGGGGGCGCUACGGCGGGGCGACUGGUACAAGACGAAGGAGAUCCUGCUGAAGGGGGCGGACUGGAUCCUCGGGGAGGUGAAGACGUCCGGGCUGAGGGGUCUGGGAGGGGCCGGGUUUCCGACCGUCAUGAGGUGGGGCUUCAUGAACAAGCCUUCAGAUGGCAGUCUCUUACUCGGGACCUCAGUGGAUUCACGUCGAUUUUAACUGCGGGGGUCAAUUUGCCAGAAAUGAGCUUUGGUGGAGAUGAGAUCCGGAGCUCCAAGACUCUGCUUGUCGAACCUCCCUCAGCCUGGAGCUGAGACGCUACUGUGUCAGUGUGAGGAGCUCCGACCCACUGUUGCAGUGCACAGGGUGUGGAGGGCAAUAGAAACCUCAAAUAAAACUCGAUUCCGACACAAGACAGGAAGAUACAGUGGUUUAUUGAUUUUUAUGAGAAAUAUCAAUGAAACAAUGUGUGAGCUGCUAACGUGCGGUAAUAAAUAAUCUGCUGACAGUCACACACAAUUAACUGACCGGCGACAAGGGGUGACCGGUUGAAUAAUAACCAGUCCCGUUUCUCACCGUCACUCUGCAUCGGGGAACUGAUUAUAAAAUUAUAAAACUGAUUAUAAAAUCACACUUCGGGGCCGUGACCGGGAUCGCUGCAGAUCCAGGGUCACUGCCGAGGGAUUUGUCCAUUUAACAUCAUUAUAUCGGCCAGGCUGCGGAAUGCACCGUCCUCAGCAAAGGGGGCAAAAGGAUUCUCUCCCGGGACCAUCCCCCCCACCCCGGGACACCGGUGUCCCAGACUGAGCCCCGGACCCCCGGGCUCUUCCUGUCCGGGUUAUUCCCCGGGAGUCACGUGGGGAGUCUCCAACACGCACUUCCGGCGGAAGCUGCCCCGCCGGACAACAGGCGGAAACACGUCACUGCGGGACCGCUGCGAGCGACGCACACAGCGCGAGGCCCGUGCCGGUUCCGUUAAAACCGUUGGGAAUCAGCCCCGGCGCGCGGCCGUUAAAGAAAAGUGUUCCUGACGUGAGACAGUCGGAAAGGGCAGGUGUGAAGGGGAGAAGUCAAACAGUGAGGAAGAUUUGAGAAUCGGGAAAUGUCGAUGGGAGAUGGAGGAAGAGACAUCACCUAAG